rnacentral:rRNA from 1 species
UGGGGAAUCUUGCACAAUGGGCGAAAGCCUGAUGCAGCAACGCCGCGUGCGGGAAGAAGGCCCUAGGGUUGUAAACCGCUUUCAGGAGGGAAGAAAAUGACGGUACCUCCAGAAGAAGGUGCGACCAACUACGUGCCAGCACCCGCGGUGACACGUAGGCACCAAGCGUUAUCCGGAUUCAUUGGGCGUAAAGAGCUCGUAGGCGGUUCGGUAAGUCGGGUGUGAAAAUCCAAGGCUCAACCUUGGGACGCCACCCGAUACUGCUGUGACUCGAGUGCGGUAGGGGAGCGGGGAAUUCCUGGUGUAGCGGUGAAAUGCGCAGAUAUCAGGAGGAACACCAGUGGCGAAGGCGCCGCUCUGGGCCGUAACUGACGCUGAGGAGCGAAAGCAUGGGUAGCAAACAGGAUUAGAUACCCCCGUAGUCC